UACGUAGGGAGCAAGCGUUGUUCGGAUUUACUGGGCGUAAAGGGCGCGUAGGCGGCCUGAUAAGUAGGGGGUGAAAUCUUGCGGCUCAACCGCAAGGCUGCCUUCUAAACUGUCAGGCUGGAGCACGGUAGAGGCAGAUGGAAUUCCCGGUGUAGCGGUGGAAUGCGUAGAGAUCGGGAAGAACACCAGUGGCGAAGGCGGUCUGCUGGGCCGUUGCUGACGCUGAGGCGCGACAGCGUGGGGAGCAAACAGG
rnacentral:rRNA from 1 species